AGGAUAAACGCUGGCGGCGUGCAUGAGACAUGCAAGUCGAACGGACGAUCAGGGCUUGCUCUGAUCGUUAGUGGCGGACGGCUGAGUAACGCGUAGGUGACCUGCCCCGAAGUGGGGAAUAACUGCCCGAAAGGGUGGCUAAUACCGCAUGUGGUGGUGUGUUCAUUCACACCAGUAAAGCCGCAAGGCGCUUCGGGAGGGGCCUGCGUCCGAUUAGCUCGUUGGUGGGUAACGGCUCACCAAGGCGACGAUCGGUAGGUGGUCUGAGAGGACGAUCACCCAGACUGGGACUGAGACACGGCCCAGACUCCUACGGGAGGCAGCAGUCGGGAAUUUUGCGCAAUGGACGAAAGUCUGACGCAGCAACGCCGCGUGAGGGAUGAAGGCCUUCGGGUUGUAACCUCUUUUAUCAGGGAAGAUAAUGACGGUACCUGAUGAAUAAGUCACGGCUAACUACGUGCCAGCAGCCGCGGU
rnacentral:rRNA from 1 species